UGUUCCUGAAUAAGUGUGAUGUUGUUCAUCUGCAGGUGUGUUCUCAGCCAGUGCGGAUCAGUUCAGCUGCAGGAUGUCAGAGGAGCGAGGAACAGAGACCCGUCUCUCACAGAAACACAGUGUAAGAUCAGGAUCACGUGUGUCCAGCUCUGUGUCUGUGAAGAGUGACUGCUCAAGAGAUGAAGGACCAAGCUUCAGUGAGAAAACUCCAUCAUCUGCCAAAAGGUAUUUCAUGUGCAAUACUAAUUUCUAAAAUUAAUAUUAAAAUGGUUACAUUUAGGACAAGUAUUGUGCAGAUUCCACAGUCAGUGUUUCCCGCUCAUGUGUUCUGUGUCAUUAGUGUAAGAUCAGGAUCACGUGUGUCCAGCUCUGUGUCUGUGAAGAGUGACUGCUCAAGAGAUGAAGGACCAAGCUUCAGUGAGAAAACUCCAUCAUCUGCCAAAAGUGUUCAACGUAAGACAAUACAUUCAGAUGUUCAGGCUCACGGGAACCACAAGGUUUUCAAAGAAAAUCUCCCAUGUAUAUUCAAGGUAAGAAAAGCACUUUUCAUAAAUGUUUAAUAUUUGUAUCUUAA
rnacentral:lncRNA from 1 species